GGCAGCCAGCUGCCUCCUCUCCUCUCCCCGGCAGCACCUCACCCAACCCAGCCCUGAUGGAGGGGUGGGAGGAGAGAGAGAGGGGUGCUCCUGGGGAGGAGGGAGAAAGGAGUGGGUGCUCCGUGGGGCAGGGGGGAGAAGAAUGGAUGUUAUGGGGCACAUCAAAGGAUACUGGUUCCAGAGCCACAGAGCCUGCCUCACCUGACCUCAGCCGGGGGGAAAGAGUCACACUCACAGGGCUUCCUUAUGAGUAGCUUUCAGUGCCUCUAUUAAUUUAGACUUAAGAGACGAAUUGAUAGAUCUGUUCAGAAGGAGUUCAGUCUCAAUAUUCUCUGGUGGGGAUCAAGGAGAUCUUUGCUACAAUUUAUGGUUCAAUUUUGUCUCUAGUACAACUCUGAUUGCUUGGAAGUAGGAUGUUGCUUAGCAUGGCCAAGCUCUGGUUUUAUCUUCAGGAGAGGACCUUUAGUGGUAUGAACAUUAACAUGAAAAGAAAGGUCAGAAAUAAUGAGUGAUGCAUUUGUGGCUGCAACAUACAGGAUAUUGUUAUACAUUAGCCAAGAAUAGUACUUGCAUCAAUAUUACCUUCAGUUUACAAUGAACACACAGGUUAGAAUCCACCUGUGUGUUAUAAAAUUAAGCUGGAGUGUAGAGGAGUGGACUCACCCCUGCAGCGCCUCCUGCUGG